CCUACGGGUGGCAGCAGUAGGGAAUCUUGCACAAUGGGCGAAAGCCUGAUGGAGCAACGCCGCGUGCAGGAUGAAGGCCGUCGGGUUGGAAACGGCUUGUAUAAGGGAGAAAGAUGAUGGUAACUGAUGAAUAAGGACCGGCUAACUACGUGCCAGCAGCCGCGGUCACACGCAGGAGCCGAGCAUUAUCCGGAGUGACAGGGUGUGAAGAGUUGUGUCGGUGGUAUAAUAAGUAGCCAGUUGAAUCUGGUGGCUCAACCCUUCGGACUAUUAGCUAAACUGUUAAGCUCGAGACCGUUCGAGGUAACUGGAAUUUCUGGUGUAGCGGUGAAAUCCGUAGAUAUU
rnacentral:rRNA from 1 species